GCCCUAGUAGCUUAUCACCUUUAAAGCGUUGCCCUUGUAAGCCAAAGCUGGAUCUCAACCCCUAGAGCA
rnacentral:tRNA from 1 species